rnacentral:rRNA from 1 species
UUUCAAACCGGUGUGAGCCUAGGUUGGUUUCUAUCUCGAAAUAAUUAAUAUAUUUUAGUACGAAAGGACCUAAAUAUUUAAUAAAAAAUUUUAUUUUUGGAAUUAUAAUAUUAUUUUGGCAGAAUAGUGCGAUAGAUUUAGAAUCUUUAUAUGUAGUUUUACAAAUAAUAUUGUUAUUUAAAGAUUUUAUUAUAAUAAUAAUUUCUAGAGUAAUUCUAGCUUUAAGAGUAAUAUUAGGAGUGGCUUUUUUGACUUUAUUAGAACGUAAAGUAUUAGGAUAUAUUCAAAUUC